GGAGGUUGCAGUGAGCCGAGAUCACGCCACUGUACUCCAGCCUGGAUGACAGAGUGAGACUCCAUCUCAAAAAAAAAUUAUAAUAACUAAAAUAAAUAAAUAAAGCAUCUAUCCUUCAGCCAUUUGCUAAGCAGCUGCUGUAUUCCAGGCACUGUACCAGGUACCGGGAGCCCACCAUGUACAAACAGCUGAGUCUAAUGGGGUGGGCAGACGAGCAAUCACAUACUUACUACAGCAUAAGCGAUAAGACAGAGAGGGCUUCUCU
rnacentral:lncRNA from 1 species